rnacentral:tRNA from 2 species
UCCAGCAAGCCGCCGCAAACCGCGGCUAACGACGUUGUUUCCGCCUGUUAACCGGAGGGUUGCUGGUUCGAGUCCAGCCCGAGGAGCCA